rnacentral:tRNA from 1 species
GGAGAGAUGCCGGAGCGGUUGAACGGGCGCGCCUGGAAAGUGCGUGACCUCCAAAAGGGGUCCUAGGGUUCGAAUCCCUAUCUCUCCGCCA